CAAGACUUCUUGCUUACUUUGGACACAUCACCCGGAAAGACCAAUCACUAGAAAAGGGCAUCAUAUUUAGUAAAGUAGAGGGUUAGCGAUCACGAGGAAAACCCUCAAUGAGAUGGAUUGACAUGAUAGCCUCAAAGAUUGUGGAAGUGGAGCAGGACCAGGCAGUGUUUUGUUCUUUUAUACAUAAGGUUGCCAUGAGCUGGAGCUGACAACUAACAACAGUGAUUUGCCAGAUGGAGAAGGCGUUCUUUCUAAAUAGAUUAGCACAUAGAGUGAUGUGGAGACAAGAAAGAGCAUUAUGAUGUGUUGGGGAAAACUAUAAGUAGUUCUGUAUGAUGGAAUGUAAAGUAUUAAUGAGAGUAAGGGGAGAUGAGGCUGGACGAGUCCUUAAGGUCUUGUAGGGGCAGGAGGUAUUUUGAUAGAUUCUAGUCUCUUCUAAUUCUUUUCCCUAGUUCUUCGGAGCACCCCGCUCCCCACAUCCUCAUUUUAGAGUCUCCUUUUCUCUGUUUGAUUAGCUGCUUUCCUAGCUUUAGAUGCCAGUGCCGUGGAACUGGGGAAGUACUUCUUCCUUUCGCCAGGUGAUUUGUAGUAGGAUUAUUGAGAGAGAGAGGAAGGAAAGAACCUACAACCCUGUUGCCAGGUAUGCAGAUCUGCUUUGUCAUGUCAUUGGACCUCUGAAUAUUGUUACACAUAGUGGUUUGGGUCUUUAAAUAAAUAAAAUUAGGUACAUUGUGGUGUUAUGCCUUUUGUGGGCUUAUCUGGAAAUCGAACUUUUUUUGAGUUCCAGAUUUAUGAGAGAACUUAAACACAAACUGUCUUAUCAUCUGGUGAUGGUUAGUAUGAAUAAAAAAGGUUUGAUAAAUGAAUUAAGAUCAAUAAGAUUGUUGGGGGCAUGUGCCAUUUAGGUGAUUUAACUAUUGAUAUCUGCUUACUGCAAGUCAUUCUUACCUGUUUUUAAAGCUGGACCUGUGAAGCCCUCUACCAAAUAAGACUUUGUUAGUCCUGUGGAAAUUAACAUACUCAGUUAUUUAGAUUACUUACUGAGUGUCUACUGCAUACCCAAGUUACUGUGUUGAGAUACUGAGAAGCCUAAAAGUGAAAUUGUUUAUCAUGUUGUCAGUUUAAUAGGGAAGAUUAUGGUACAUACAGAUAACUGUAUUAUCAGAUAAGUAUAGAACAAAUAUCACUGAAAUACAGAGGAGAGAGAUACUGCUUUUGACUAGGGGAGAACUGGAUCUUAAAUGUUAAGUCGUGUGCUGUUGCAUCAGUUCCAACUCACAGUGACCCUAUGUGACAGAGUAGACCUGCCCCAUAUGGUUUUCUAGGUUGUAAUACUUAUGAAAGCAGAUCGCCAGUUCUUUUCUCCUGCGGAGCCCCUGGUGAGUUCAAACCCCAGACAUUUUGGUUGGCAACUGAGCAGUUAACCAUUGUGCCACCAGUAGUGAGGAGCAGCAGUAGGCAUUUCCAGUGGAGGAAAGAGUAUGAGCAAAUAUUUGUAGACAGGAAGGCUGGCUUGUGUUUGAGGAACAAGGAGUCUGUUUGAUUAUAGAGGGUAAAUGAGGUUUUUUGGGCUGGGAGAGGGUCGGGUUGGGUGUAAGGAGAAAUGUGGUUGGAGCAAUUGUCUGAGGCUGGGUUGUGGAGGAAAUUUGUGUUUUAAUCAUAUGACCUUUAGAUAUAUCUUAUUGCCAGUUAGCUUUUGGCUACAAUUGGUUAAGUUGGAAAAUAGAACUGAUUUUUAAAAAUUGCACUUUAUAUUCUGCUGCCAGUGUUAAAAUAAGGAAGGCAGGGAGUUUUGCUGAUCUUGAAACUGAGAAUGAGGUUUUGCUGCAUCAGACUUUUAUGUUAACUUGACUGUUGUAGAUUGCAUGAAUAGUGACAAUAACAAAUGUUUUUGGGACUUCCGAGUCUGUAGAUUGCACAGGAGUCAUUUUUCUAAACAAAAAUAAUGUAUGCCUAACUUUGAUCUGAAGGUAGAAGUUUUAUAAAAGUUUAAGGAAACUUCAGUCUUCAGUGUUUACAAAAUCUGAUACAAAUCAGUUUAAUUAGGAUAUGACAUACAUAAUGAGGGUAAUAGCUAAGAUUUUUGGAGUGCUUUCUGUGUUUUAAGUAGUUGACAUGCAUUAACACAUUUAAUCUUACAAAAGAUCUAUUGAGCAGGUAAAGGUAGUGUUAUUAGCACUGUUGAACAGAUUCAUAAACUGAGAUACCGCUAGUAAGAGGAAAUAGAGAAUAAAUUUAGCAUUUAAAUGACAAAGCACUUUGACUGCAGGUCAGGCAAUCUGGGGUGCCCCUUAGUUCAAAGAACUUUUAGGGAAUGGGAUAUAGUUAGGAAAAAGCCAUUCUUUGAGAAACGUAAUUUCUACAAAUAUGUAAGUUACAUUUAGAAACAGCAACUUCCUACAAUUCUUAGGUUAACUUGUUUGUUAAUAUGCUUCAUUAGGAAUAAGCCUUAAACUGAAAUAUAGGGAGCUGGUCCCAUAUGGCCUUAGGAAAAAUCCCUUACUCACCUGAAUUGCUUAUUUUCUAAAUUGCAUCCUUUCUUUAUUAUUCUGUGAUGCUGUAUUUGUACCCCUUUAGGUUUUUUUUUUUUUUUUGGUCCUUGGUGCUUUGGAAACUGAGAUCAGAAACAGUUUAUGAGCUUUUGCUUCAUUCUCUGUUAGAGUGUUCUGUUCCACCUGCCAGUAUAUCAUCAUUACUUGAAAAAAAAAAAUUUGAAUUUUACUUUCAUGGAGGGGGAGUGGGAUUUUACUUCCACCUUUACUGAAAAUACAUUAAUGUGAAAAUAUAAAAAAUAGCUUGAUAAUAAAGGACUUCCCACCAGUCUUUCCAACCAUAUUUCAAAUGCUUGCUUUUCUCAAUUUUACUUAAGUCAUCCAAGUUUAUUGUCUCCCAGCAUCUGUACUUUCCUGACUUUAUGGAGCUUUUUGAUGUUGUUUUUUGUUUUAAAAAAAAUUUUUUUUCUCAUAAUUUUGAGAAUAUCUGUAGUCCUUGUAAUCCAAAUCAUUCAUCAUAUAUUCCUGGACCACCUCAAAUCUAAAAUAUUUGUUAAAUAAAUUAAAGAAGGCUGUAAUUAUUUAUGUAAUUAUGUUGUGAAAGAAGAGUACAGUGUGCAGUGAGAGCAUACAAAAAGUCAGCAAUUCGAACCCACCAGCUGCUCCUCAGGAGAAAGAUGCGGCAGUCUGCUUCCGUAAAGAUUACAGUCUUGGAAACCCUAUGGGGCAGUUCUACUCUGUCCUGUCGGGUUGCUGUGAGUUGGAAUUGACUCAACAGCAGUGGUUUUGGUUUUCUGGUUUUGGUAACUGAAGGAUGAAGAGGCGUUAGCUGGGUGAAGAGGAGAAGAAGAGAGUUAUAUGCAUCAUGGUAUGAAAUAGGAGCUUGAGAGACUGAAAAGUCCAUCAAGUGAGGCAGUGAGUGGUGGGAGUGGUAUAUAGUGCUAGGGCUUACAGAUCAUAUUAAAAUGUUUGGACUUUAUUCUAGGAGAGUAAAAAUUGUAAGUGGCUUUUUACUUAAAUGACUGUGUGGGUGUGUGUGUAGAGAGAGAGAGAGAAGAAUUGCAUUUUAGAAAGAUUACCCUGUAGAAUAGAGAGAAAUUGGCAGUCUAAUUAGGGGCUGUUGUGGUGGUCAGAAAUGAUAAUAUCUGUGGAGAUGUAGAUGAGGCACCAAUUUCUUGUUCCCAGCCCCUACUUGCCUUUUGUUCUCAGGCAUUAUCUCUUGGAAAAUUCCUUAACCUGAGGUAUUUGUAGGUUUAAGCUGGGGAGUAAAGCUAAUCCUCUACCCUUGACUAAAGAAUGUUUAUCUGAAUUUUAGAUUUGCCCCUUUUGGGCAUGCAGCCUUAGAUGGAUGCUCGUGUUUGAUUAGGAAAGAUAAAGCCCCUCUCCCUCACUCCUGAUUGGCCAAAUGAGCUAUAGACAAGCCAUGGGUGACCUUUGUAAUCAUAUUGCUCCCCUAUCCCUCUACAGAGGUGUUUUCUUUUACUUUCAUAGCAUCCUCUCUCUGUUUAUCUCUCUUGAGAAGUGAGACUGUAUUUUAUUCAUCUUAGAAACCCCAGUACCCAGAAUAUAAUGCCUGGUACGUAAGAAUAUCUUAGUAAAUAUUUAAUAAAUCUUUGAGGAAGAGAAUGAAUUUAGUGUACUAGGCUGGUGAACAGUUUUUUGUUGUUUUUAAAUGUGAGUUAACCUUUAUAUUGAAAAUACUCAAAUAUGAUCUUGGUCCUCAUCUAGUUGGUUCACUCGAUCAGUUCAUUGUGUUCAUUCCAGGAUUAUGAAUUUGAUAGUUAACUGUGGCCACAGACUAAAUGACUUAACACGGCUAAUUGUAUUUGUUGACUGUUGGUCAUAAUGGGUAUCAGUUGAGGGUAUAUAAUAGAGCAUCACUAAUCCAUCACCAUACUCCACCAUAGUAGCAUCAUCAUCUUGAAAUUAUUUGGUUAAGUGAUGAAUUUGUGUAUGAUUACGUCAAAUCUGGUUUUUAUCCCUUGUUUUAAUCCCAUAGAACCAUGCAACUGUAAGCAUUAUUAUUGUUUCCGCAAUCCUUAAUUUAGUUAGCUUGUUGGAAGGACUAUGUUUCUUAAAGUAAAUGUCUACUCUCUGUUUUUAUGUGUGUGUGUAUAUAUAUAUAAAUAGAGUGAGGAUUGUGUAUGUUGUUGUCAAGUGCAGUCUAGUAGAUUCCAACUCUUAGAAGCCCUAUAAGACAGAGUAAAAUUGCCCCAUAGGGUUUCCUAGGCUGUAAUCUUUACUAGCAGAUCGACAAGUCUUUUCUCCUGUGGAGUCUCUGGUGGGUUCAAACUGCUGACCUUUCAGUUAGCAGCUGAGCAGACUUGCGUACAUCUGCUUAUUAAUGCUAGAACUCUAAUUGGCCAAGGCAGCAUCAAUUUAUCUGGCUGUAGCUGCUUGCCCAUUUUUGGCCUACAACCUUUUGUGUAUCUGUGACAUUCAUUAGGAGAAGAGCAAAAAAAAAUUUGCUUUUAUUUGCAAUAUAUGUAUUUUUCCAAUAGUAUUGAAUUGUUUAUUUGUCAAAUACAGUGCAAACGAUCUCUUUUUGGUCUUUUUUUUUUUUUUAAAUCUUUUGUGACUUGAAAUUAAGAAACUUGGUGGUCUAGUUUAGAAUAUUCUUUAGUUUUAUUCAAUAUGUCUUUAUACCUAAGAAAUUUGUUUUAAUAGUUGUGGGUGCCUUUUUUUAAGUUGCUGAGUUUGCAUAUCUUCAGAUAGUAUCUUUGGAAAGCAUUUAAUGUAGAGAAGAAAACAUUUCACUAAUUGCAGUUACUAGCUUUAUUUCAGGUGAACUAUUGCUAGGGAACUGGUCUGGUUUUGAUUUAUAAGACCAAUGUGAAGAUUUGUUGGUAAAUACAAAAUGGAGUGGGUUGAUUACAAUGAGUUUGUUUUUAAAAACUGCAGAUCUGAGAGGAAGUUAAGUUAUAGGAUAGCUGCAUUUCAUCUUUUGGUGUGGAACCGGAGGAGAGAUCUGGUUUGUUCUUUACGUGACCACUUUGUCAUCUGUUUUCAGAAUUGGAAGAUAGAACCAUUUGUAUUCCCAUUUGUACAUUUCCUUUUAGAAGUAAAGCUAACUGUUUAAUAACCAAGAAGUUAAGAUUUAGCAGGCAGUAUUUCCUCAUCUGUUUUUCUUUUCUCAACAUCAACUUUUGUAACUUUUCUUUACAGAAGUAUGUAAUUGUUUUAUUAUAAGUUCCAAAAUUCAUGUUAGGUAUUAAUUUAACAUAGGGUUUUAGACUUUUUAGAGUAUAAACUCAUUUAUUUUUAUUCAUAUUCUUGUAAAAUAGAGUUUUGACUUGGUGACUUACAGUGGCUCAAGGCAUUAUCUUUAGGUGGUUUCUGUAACCUGUCCCAGAAACACCACAUAGUGGGACACAGCUAAGUAGCAAUAAAGUGGCAUGUUAUUAAUGCUACCCAUUGCCGUCCAGUCAAUUCCGACUCAUCGUGACCCUAUAGGACAGAGUAGAACUGCUCCAUAGGGUUUCCAAGGCUGUAAUCUUUACGGAAACAGACUGCCACGUUUUUCUCCCAUGGAGUGGCUGGUGGGUUUGAACUGCCAACCUUACAUUUAGCAGCCAAGUGCUCAACCGCUGCACCACCAGGGCUCCUUUUAUUAAUGCUAGAACUCUGUAACUCUAGCGUUAAUAAAGGGGCACACAGCUGAGUGGUAAUAAAGAACAACCGUAGGAGACUGACUUAAAAAUUAGUUGUAUGGUUGCCACUGGUGGCUAAAUUAGGAAACUAUUUAUAGAGCAGCUCAAGAGACUGAAGUAGGCACUCCUUAACAGACUGCCUGAAGGUAGUGUGCAGGAAGAGAACCAAUUCUUCCUAUAAACCAAAAAACCAAACCCGUUGCUGUCCAGUCGGUUCCAACUCAUAGUGACCCUAUAGGACAGUAGAACUGCCCCGUAGAGUUUCCAAGGAGCAUCUGGUGGAUUCGAAUUGCCGACCUUUUGGUUAGCAGCUGUAGCUCUUAACCACUAUGCCACCAGGGUUUCCAUUCUUCCUAUAGGAAGAUGGAAGUGUUUUAAGAGAGGAGUGUAAGCUGCUUCCUAUUCUUGGGCUUGUAGACUUAACCUAGAAUUGCUUUUGUUUUUUAAAUUUUUCUUCAUCAGAGUUGUUUUCCUAACUUAGCCAGUGACCAGCCAAGAAUGUAUUUUGUAGCUUUUGAGGCCUCUUUUAAUAUAGUCUAUCUCUUAUGCUCUAAAUUGGGAAUGGUUACAUUUUUGGGACAGAAGAUGACUGGAAAACUGCUCUGUGUGUUCUUAUGUAAAAUCAUGUAAGGUCUAAUUCAUUUAAAAUCUGGUGAGUUGACUUAGUUUUUUCUGUGAUAUUCUUGGCUUCUUUAAGCUUGCGUAUAAAUUAAGGUUUGUGACAGUAGUUUCUAAAGCACUUGAAGAUGGAACUGUCCUAAACUCUUGAUGCCUGUAUAUUGUUAACUUCUAUUGAAUAGUAUGUUUUCCUUAUAUCCUGUCAUCUUUAGUUCAUUGUAGCCGGAGUGAAGAUGAUAAUGCCAGUGAGCAGGACAUACCAGGCAAGAGGUGGUUACUGUAUAUACUAGACAUUACAUUUGCCAGGACUAACAGGAGAGAGUGUGUAGAUUUUAGAAUAAUUAGAGACCACUUGGUAUGGAGAGAGUUUCAAUCGAUCCAUUCACCCCUCACCCGCUCAUCAUCCAUCCAUCCAUCUCUCUCCCCCAGUGGAAAGAUACUUGUGUUAAGAAUCUAGUUCUAGCACAGACACUAGUGUAACUGGCACGUAUUUAAAUCUAACAAUGAUUAUAACAGCAUUGCUUGCCUGUCACAAGGAUGUUGUAAUAAUCAGAAGACUAAGGAUGUGAAAUAAUUUUGUAAAGCAUAAAGAAAUCUGCAUGUGUAAAGAUUUUGCCACUCUUAAGAUUGAGUGCAAGUCAUUAUGGUAACAUUUCCCAGUUGAUGAAGAAAUUAGACUUUCGAGAAGGUUUUGCAGAAGUUGUUGAGUUUGAGCUGGUUUUGUCAUACAGUAUUGGAAAGGUAAUAGAGGAAUAGUUUGCUGAAAUGGAGGAAAACUUACCAAUAAAAUAUGAUGCUAAGUAAAAAAAAUAAUAUAUUUAUAAUGGUGCUUUAAAGCUUAUAAAGAACCUUAAAUGUAUUGUCUUACUAAAACAAGAAUGUUAGGAAAAUUAAAUUUUAAUAUUGCUAUUUUCAAAAUGUAGAAAUUGAUCCUGAGUGACUAAUUAACAGUCCUGAAGUCAUACUGCUGAACAGUGAAUCUGGAAUUUGAUUCUAGAUCCUUUGCUCAUUUAGAUACGUCACUCAAUUCUGGUUAUAAUACAGUCCUAGGGCCUGGAAAUGGAUAGGGCCACGCAUGGAAAUGGAAGGAGAGCCUAGAGCAGAAGUUAGUGAUGGUGCCAUUUGCAUCCUUAUUAUUAGUUGAAGCAGAGACUGGAAAUGAAUAGUGCUUAAGGCUAUCAAAUAAGUGUGAGUCAGAGAAGAGCUCUAAUAGGGAGAAAUGAACAUUAAAGGAAUUAUAGGAGUAAAAACAGACACCUCAUCCCACACUUGCCAAUCCCAGUCAUUCUGGAAGGUAUCCAAAUAAUAUAGCAGUGAAAUAAAAAGUUAGUGUGCUCCAGUGUCCCUCAGGUUUAGGGAGGGAUCAUGCUUGAAAACUAGUAGUAUUCAAAGUAGUAGCAUUUAGUUGGAUAGAAGGCUUAACUUGGGGGAUACUUUGUCACCAUGGAAACCCUAGUGGCAUAGUGGUUAAGAGUUGGGCUGAUAACCAAAAAGUCAGCAGUUCAGAUCCACCAGGCACUCUUUGGAAACCCUAUGGAGCAUUUCUCCUCUCUCCUAUAGGGUCACUAUGAGUCAGAAUCGGCUCAAUGGCAGUGGGGUUGUUUUUUUUUGGUCACCAUAGCAGAAGGGAAAUUGGUAAAGGAUUGCUACUGUAGAAUGAAGAAGGAAAGGUGGUUAAAUUUUCCUUGCUGUUUGUUUAUACCAUUUAAGAUUCGUGUUCCCAUCUCAUAACAAGCCGAGAGAGAUACUCUCUUAGAAUCGCAAGGGACUCUUCAGACAUCUAUUUACAGAUAGAAUAUGAUUUUUGAAAAUAGAUAUGUUGUCUGUCUAUAUCUAUUUAGACAGAUAAGAUCUGGAUAAGUAGUUGCUUGAAAGAAUCAGCUGUUUUUAUUCUUAAGGUGUUAUUAGUAUUGCAACAGUUAUUGUGGUUGGUACAUAGAAGCAGAACUAAAUAAAAAACAGCUGUAAGUAUUAUGUACAAUGUAGGUUAAGUGUUAAAUUUAUUGUUUCUGAAUUUUCUAGCAGCAGAGGUCUGUUUAUCAAAAUACUUUGUACUGAAAGAUACUUAAAACCUGUAUUGGGGGAAAUAAGUAUAUUUAACAGUAUAGUGUGCAAAGGAAGUUGUGAUCAUAUCUAAAUUUUGGUAGAAGUAAUCUACUCUUUUUUCUUUUUGUGGUGGCAAAGUUUUUAUUACCAAACAUCUCUAUAAUUAAGUGCUAAAGGAAGUGUUCCAGAAAAUACUUGGAAUAUAUUUCUUCUUUUAAAGUGUUUUUCCAAGUGUUAAGUCAUCUUAAAUUAUUGCUGUCAUUUACUUUUAAUGGCUUUUAAUCUUAGAGUGAAUCAAAUAACACUUUGUUUCAGUUCUGGAAUUUAGACACAACAUCCAAAUGAACUAUACCUAUGUGUAAUUCAGAAAGAAAAAAAAAAUUUCCCCCCAAAUUAACAAACACUUUAAUGGCCAAAGCUUGGAGUUUUAGAUUCAAAUUAGUGAAGUUUUUUUUUUGCUUGAUUUUUCUCUCCACCCCUUCUUCUCCUCCUCCAUGUUUAUGAGCAGAGAAAUGGGCUUUUGUUUCACCUAUAAAUUUGCAAAUAUUUAUACCAUCAUAUGAACACAGGUACAAGGCAAGGUGUUACACAUUGUGGAUGAUAUAAGGAAGCAAGAUUCCUGACUUUAUUUUAUCAGAAUAAAGAAAGGGUCUUGAUUGCUUGAAACAAAAACGGCCGUCAGGUUACAGCUGAGAGCAUAUUCCUGUUUUCAGGUGUGAGAUAUCUUUGGACAUAGAGAUGCAAAUUUCUGGUAUCUCCUACUCCUCAGAAGACCUUGGAUUGAUUUUCUGAGAAUCCAUCUGGGAAUCAUUUGCAUAGAAGUUUUCAUUGAAGUUAGGAGAUUAGAUGAUUUUCUCAGGGUGAAAAAAAUAGCAUCAGAGAUUAAUGUUAAGAGAUGCCCAAGGGUAGGGAGUGAGAGGACAAAGUGGCUAGCAUGGAAACGUGUUUUGUGUUUUAGGAAGGUUAGGGGAAUAACUGGAAUAUAGCACUUAAAGAAAGAAAAGUGAAAAUACAUCAGGAGUAGAUGGUGGUGGUGUAUUAAUUUCUUAGCUACAUGUAAACUCUUAUUAGGUCACUUACAACUAGGGUGACAUAAAAUUUAUUGUCCAAAUUGGAUUACCUUUGAGAGUGAAAGAGUGUUAUCUGAAUGGGAUAAUAGGACAGAGGUGUAAACCAGGACUAUUUCAGGCUAGCUAGGACACUUGGCCACCUCCUGUUUAUAACGUACUUUUCUCCAGACUUAGUCCCAUUUCCGUUAACCUCUCAAGAUAAUUUUUUUUCCUUAUAGUACUCUGAUCUGCACUUGCAGAGCCCCUCAAGCUUGGGUUCUUUUUCCCUGGUAUUGUUGGAAUGAAAGGAGAAUUUGUUCCAUUUUUUCUCUCCGGACUGUUUCCGGUUUACAGCAUUCAUAGAGGUGGGAUUGUAAUUCUGAAAAUUCAGAUCUUCAAAGAAAGGAAGGCGAACACCUUGUAUUUAUACCAUGGACAUGUAUUUUUGAUGUUGGAGCAUUGUAAUGCUUUCAUUCUGUUUUCCUGUUCAGUUUAAAUAAAUAUUUAUUUUCAUUCUUAUAUUAAGUGAUGAGUUUUUAUUUUUUUUAUUAUCAUCUUGCAUUUUCAGAUAAGUUAAAAAUUAUCAUAGAGGUAAUAGUUACCCUUUGAGGUAAUGCUUACCAAAAUAUCCAUCUCCUCACCCCUGAGAUCCUUAUUUGGAAUCUGGGGUUCCAAAUCCCAGAGGCUAGGGUCUCUAGGUUUGGGAAUCUGUGCUUUGGAAUACUAGAAUGUAGUCAUAAACAUCUGAAAAUUAAGUAAUCUGUUUAUAGGUGAGACUGAGUUGGUCUGAACCCAUCCUUGUUCCUUCCAGGGUUUUUUUUUUUUUUGAGUUUCUCUGUACAGUCUAACUGCCAUCUAGUGGUAGGAAUUCAGAAUACACCAGAACACCAAGGAGAAACUAGAUUUUUGAGAAUUUCUUGUAUUUUUGAUAAUGGGAAAUACAAAGCAAUGACACUUUGACUUGAAAAUAUAGGUCAGUGGCAGUGAAUUCUGAGUAUUCCAAGAGUGUAUAUUUUUGAACACAGCAUUUUCAUGCUUUAAACUUCCUGCUUUUUUUGUAAGAUUUUAUGUAUUUAUAGCAGGUUUGUGGGGAACGUGGCAGUUACAGAGGUGAUAGAUAAUUUUAAGAGAUAGUAAAUUGGGCUAACUUGAGAAUAAUGUUUUGUAUAUUGAUGGGAAUUUUAGGGCAAUUACAUAAUGAUUCCAUUAACUGAAACAAUUUACUAUGCACUUUUACAAUUAAAGUAUAGACAGUUCAGUAAACUUGACUUUGUUCAGCUAUGAUUUAAGAGCCCAAGUUUCAGCCAGAUACUAGUGUAGAAUAUCUUAAGCUUGGUUUUGUUUACCUGCCUCCAUCCGAAUUCUCUUCUCCAGAUAUUAUUCCCUCUUUAGUUCUUGUUCUUUCCUCUGCUACAGGUGAAAAGGAUGUAAAUCCUUUCUCUGCCAGGAAAAUGCUGCCUUCUGUUACUCUUCUAUAUUCUGUUCCUUCAGGUAGAGACUUCAGGUAUGAGGCAGUUCAUGCUGUCUCACAGUGGUGGUAGGGGGAGGGAAACGAGGUAGUAUAAACUUUAAAAAACAAUUGUUACUCUCUAGGUUGCUAACACAUUGCUUCCAGAUUAUCACUAUACCACAACAGACUAAAUAGAAUAGUAUUACUUUCUAUGAACAACUUCUGAGUUACGUUCCAUUUGUUGAAUUAAUUCACUAAGUACUAAGAGCCUCGUGUGCUAAAUGCUGGGGAUACAAACAUGAAGAAGACAUGAUACUGCUCUUAGUGAGCCCAGUCUUGUGAUAAGAAGACUUACUGAUAAUAAGCCAGUAGUUGUGAUGAAAUAUGAUAACUGCUGUAAUUGUGAUAUAAAGAGCUAAGGGAAUAAAUAGGAAGUUGUAGUCAGGAAAAAGUUGCUUUUCUCUCCGAAAUCAUCAUCAUCACUCCCUCCUCUAUGUGAUCUCUGAGCCCCAUGCAUAUUGUUUGGAAUCACCACAGUGUAUUGUGAGCUCAUAUCUUUAUUUUUGAAAAGCUCAGUCUAUUAGAUCAGAAAUUCCAUGUUUUUUCACAUUUGUAUAUCUAGUUCACAUGUAUCUUCUCACAUUUGUAUAUUUGACAUCAGUAGGUGAAUCAAACAGUUGCUGAUUUAAAUUGUGUGCAGGUCAUUUCCAGCAAAAGGGAUAGCGUAAGGACAUAGAACUCUGAAAGUGUGUGGAACCACCUUUGACUCAUUGUAAGAGUUUUGGAAUAUACACAUACUCACCCAUAUCCAUACACUGUCUUUACCUAAGGCAACCCCAAGUAUAAAGCAAGCCCUCGUUUUCUUAAUGAGACAAUCCCUAAAGAUAUAUUUGUUUAUUUUGCCUUUAAAUAUGUGUGUUAGAGAUAUAGAUGAAGUAAUCAACCUUAUAUUUAAACUUAUUAGUUCAAUUAUUAUAAAAAUAAUGCAUACUUUUAGAAUAAUACUUUUUUCCACUCAUACCUCACAAAACCAUUUUAUUCAUUUUCUACAUUUGUGUGCAUCUAGGGUAAGUUUGUUAGUUUUUUGUCAUCGUAGGCCCUUUUUUGAAUUAUAUAACAUCUUCAUUUUAAGUUUUUUCAGAUGAAGCAUGGUUAGGUACACACUGGAAAUUUUUUCCCCGCCUGUCAAGCGUUCCUAUAAUGAUAGGACAGUUGUUUCUUUCAUUCCUCAUAUGUAUCCCUGAUCACUGCAAUGUAACUUUUUAUUUUGUUGCUUUUUAAAGGGUCCUGAAGAUAACACUUGUAAUUGUGAGUUUAUAUCCACAGGAAUACUUACUAAAUCUGUGUGAAGGUUUUUAUUCCUUUUUUUGUAAAAAUUUUUAAAUUGAUUUCUUCAGGUGCCCAUCCAUAAACACUUGAAACUAACAUUGAUGGAGAUCUUUUCAGGUUAAUCCAUCUUCUUGAAAAAGAACUUUGUUUAAAAUAAACAGAGAGCCAAGUAUUGAGAGACUUUGUAAAGACGUAAGGCAACUUUUUUUCUUGGAGAGUUUUUAGGAGGGAAAAUUGUUCUUAUACGUGGUGAUUAAAAAAUUAAUCAGUUAAAAGGGAAAAAGCUUAUUACCCAAUAACCAGGUUAUGUAUAACAUGUAUUGUUAACAAAUUAGAGUUAUCUUUAUGUUUCCUCAGUUUUCACAUAUGUGAGUCUCUAGUCCAUUCUUUUGCAGAGAACAUAGUGACAGAAAUAGGAUAUCUAGUUGUGCUGACAGGUUUUUCCUGCAGCUGCAAUUUUAUUGUUUUAAGUAAAAUGAGACUUUGCUUCAUUUACAUUUCUCUCUGGUGAGAGAUUGAACUUGGGUUGAAAAUACUGACCUACCUCUGAAAUAGUGGUAACCAAAUUUCCAGCUGUCAUACCUUGAAAUUCUCAUGCUUAUUCUACCUUCUUCACAUCCUUGAUGAAAUAAAAGAACCCGUCAUGGCUGCUUUUUCCACCACUGAUGGUGAUAUACUCCAGAGGGUCUGUAGUGAAUUAGAGACAGGAUUGGUAUGUGCGUGUGACAUAGGGGGUGCUUACUGAGAUUUGUAAGAUUAUGGAAAAACAGUGAUAUAGUUCCUUUACAAAUUGAUUUUGAUUACCUGUUCUUAUAUAACUUAGUUACUGAAUAAUAAAUUUUGAAAGUGUUCGAUUCUUUCUGAAUCACAAUGUAUUUGGGCAAAUGCAGUAUAUAUCACAAAAUGUGUAAAUUAUAUAAUUUAUUUAAAAAUUUACAAAUUGGAAUCUUGAUGUGUAUUGUUUUUUAACAUAGCUUGUGAUUUAUAAUACUGUGAGCAUUUUCGCAUCAACUUUUUUGUUAUGUAUUUAUUGUUCUCAUUUUGUCAGUAGAUUGUAUUAUCAUUUAAUUAAAAUUCCUCCAUUAUUGGACAUAUCCACUUACAUUGUAAAUUAGGUCCCUUUGCUUCAUAGUACUUUUAUCAGUCAUUUAGAUGUCUUCAUUUGUCAUUUCUUUUCUCAUUUCAAAUUAAUUCAAUCCCUGUCACUUGUAGUCAAUAUUCCAUAUUCUAUGUUUAAGAUCCUUUCCCCAGUUUUUAUCUUAAAGACCAAUUAAUAUGUUGGUGAGAUUCAGUUUUUAAGGUGUGACUCAGUCUGUGAAGAGCAGGUUUUUGAGUUAAUUCUAAUGAAAAUUAUGUAGAAAUAUAAUGUAUUUCUCACAUGUUGUUAGUUGCUGUCGAGUCAGUUCAGACUUAUGGCAACCUGUAAAGUUAUAUCUUAAUUUGGGCCUUACUUCAUGACCCCUUACACAAAAAGUUUGAUGGAGUAAGAAAGGAGAAGUCUUGGAUUUCCCAAAACUAGGGCAAAUGUGUGUGUAUGUCUGCGUGUGUGUGUGUGUGUGUGUGUGUGUGUGUGUAAAUUUUUUUGGCUUUAAGCCUCAUUUCAACUUGCAUAUUUUCUAAAUACUUUGAAAUUAUUGCUGUAUGAAAAAAAUGUUGCUGAUACUUAUAUCAAAAGCUCAGAAACUGUUUUCUUAUCCUCGUUACUGUUUCUUGAUGAAUAUUUAUUUAUACUC